rnacentral:lncRNA from 1 species
GCCCAGAAAAUCUCUGAUGACCUGAUGCAGAAGAUCAGUACUCAGAACCGCCGAGCCCUGGACCUUGUAGCUGCAAAGUGUUACUAUUAUCACGCCCGGGUCUAUGAGUUCCUGGACAAGCUGGAUGUGGUGCGCAGUUUCUUGCAUGCCCGGCUCCGGACAGCCACCCUCCGGCAUGAUGCAGACGGACAGGCUACCCUAUUGAACCUCUUGCUUCGGAAUUACCUACAUUACAGCUUGUACGACCAGGCUGAGAAACUAGUGUCUAAGUCUGUCUUCCCCGAACAGGCUAACAACAAUGAAUGGGCCAGGUACCUCUACUACACAGGUAAGCGGGGCCCCCCCACCCACCCCACAAAGCAGGAUGUGGCUCAGGCUCUGUAAUGUAGACUUUUCAGGGUUGGUCCAUUUGAUGCAGCCAGCACUCAUCCCAGAUAGGCACAGGAGGGACCAAGUAAAGCUUUUGCUAAUUAGCACAGUCUAGGCCCACACAUGGGAUACUCCACAAAUCAUCAGGCAAGUGUGGUUGGAAUAAUCUAAAGCCAGAGUAUUUGCCCAAAGAGGGGAUAGUGGUGGUUGUGGUGAAUGCCACUGCUUUUUUGUUUGUUUUGAGACAGGGUUUCUCUCUGUAGCCCUGGCU